GACGGGGGCCCGCACAAGCGGUGGAGCAUGUGGUUUAAUUCGAAGCAACGCGAAGAACCUUACCAGGUCUUGACAUCCUUUGACCACUCUAGAGAUAGAGCUUUCCCUUCGGGGACAAAGUGACAGGUGGUGCAUGGUUGUCGUCAGCUCGUGUCGUGAGAUGUUGGGUUAAGUCCCGCAACGAGCGCAACCCUUAUUGUUAGUUGCCAUCAUUUAGUUGGGCACUCUAGCGAGACUGCCGGUGACAAACCGGAGGAAGGUGGGGAUGACGUCAAAUCAUCAUGCCCCUUAUGACCUGGGCUACACACGUGCUACAAUGGGAAGUACAACGAGUCGCUAGACCGCGAGGUCAUGCAAAUCUCUUAAAGCUUCUCUCAGUUCGGAUUGCAGGCUGCAACUCGCCUGCAUGAAGCCGGAAUCGCUAGUAAUCGCGGAUCAGCACGCCGCGGUGAAUACGUUCCCGGGCCUUGUACACACCGCCCGUCACACCACGAGAGUUUGUAACACCCGAAGUCGGUGAGGUAACCUUUUUGGAGCCAGCCGCCUAAGGUGGGAUAGAUGAUUGGGGUGAAGUCGUAACAAGGUAGCCGUAUCGGAAGGUGCGGCU
rnacentral:rRNA from 1 species